AUUGAACGCUGGCGGCAUGCCUUACACAUGCAAGUCGAACGGUAACAGGUCUUCGGAUGCUGACGAGUGGCGAACGGGUGAGUAAUACAUCGGAACGUGCCCGAUCGUGGGGGAUAACGAAGCGAAAGCUUUGCUAAUACCGCAUAAGAUCUACGGAUGAAAGCAGGGGACCGCAAGGCCUUGCGCGAACGGAGCGGCCGAUGGCAGAUUAGGUAGUUGGUGGGAUAAAAGCUUACCAAGCCGACGAUCUGUAGCUGGUCUGAGAGGACGACCAGCCACACUGGGACUGAGACACGGCACAGACUCCGACGGGAGGCAGCAGUGGGGAAUUUUGGACAAUGGGCGAAAGCCUGAUCCAGCCAUGCCGCGUGCAGGAUGAAGGCCUUCGGGUUGUAAACUGCUUUUGUACGGAACGAAAAGACUCUGGUUAAUACCUGGGGUCCAUGACGGUACCGAAAGAAUAAGCACCGGCUAACUACGUG
rnacentral:rRNA from 1 species